GAUGAACGCUAGCGGCAGGCCUAACACAUGCAAGUCGAGGGGUAGAGCACUUCGGUGUUUGAGACCGGCGCACGGGUGCGUAACGCGUAUGCAAUCUGCCUUACACUAAGGGAUAGCCCAGAGAAAUUUGGAUUAAUACCUUAUAGUAUAUUGAUGUGGCAUCACAUUAUUAUUAAAGAUUUAUCGGUGUAAGAUGAGCAUGCGUCCCAUUAGCUAGUUGGUAUGGUAACGGCAUACCAAGGCAAUGAUGGGUAGGGGUCCUGAGAGGGAGAUCCCCCACACUGGUACCGAGACACGGACCAGACUCCUACGGGAGGCAGCAGUGAGGAAUAUUGGACAAUGGGCGCAAGCCUGAUCCAGCCAUGCCGCGUGCAGGAUGAAGCAUCUAUGGUGUGUAAACUGCUUUUGUACGGGAAGAAACACCUCUUCGUGAAGAGGCUUGACGGUACCGUAAGAAUAAGGACCGGCUAACUCCGUGCCAGCCGCCGCGGUAAGAC
rnacentral:rRNA from 1 species